AUAUUUUCAUUGUUUAUUAUGGAAACUUUCAAACAUAUCCAAAAGUAGAGUGAACAAUAUGAUGAACUCCCAGGGUUCAUGAAUGACAAUCAACAUUGUUUUAUCUAUACUCCAACUUCCCCAGCCUUACCCCACUAGAUUUAUUAUUAUUAUUUGCUUUUUAAAACUGCUUUAUUAACUUCACAGUAUGUAAUGAGCAUCUUUCCAUGCAAUAGGUAAACUCCCCUGCUGACAGAAACUUACAAAUUGGGUCAAAACACAACAUUCAGUUAGAAACUGGAUUGAACACAUUGCUUUUUGGUAAGCUUAGAGUUUUAGAAAGAAGAAGGUGAGAGGUGACAUAACUAAGACUAAAUAUAGGGGUGGCCCAGAACUGCAAGAAGGGUGUCCUGAAGGUUAAUGCCCAGCAUAAGCUAAGGUCUGAAGAAAAGACUGAGGACGGACAAUAAAAUGCUCUAGAGCAGUGGU